rnacentral:rRNA from 1 species
GGAUCUGUCGGUUGGUCGGGCUUCACUGUCCGCACUGGCCUGAUGGAUUCCUACCUUCUGAAUAACCAGCAUGCUAUUAAGUUAGUGCGUUGGGGAAGCAGAGCUAUUACCUUGAAAAAAUUAGAGUGCUUAAAGCAGGCUUGUGCUUGAAUAGAUUAGCAUGGAAUAAUAAAAUAGGACGGCAUGGUUCUAUUUUGUUGGUUUCUAGGGCUAAAGUA